rnacentral:rRNA from 1 species
AACGCGAAGAACCUUACCCAGACUUGACAUACAGAGGACAGUGUUAGAAAUAACAUCUCCCUUCGGGGCCUCUGAACAGGUGCUGCAUGGCUGUCGUCAGCUCGUGCCGUGAGGUGUUUGGUUAAGUCCAGCAACGAGCGCAACCCUUAUCAUUAGUUGCCAACACUUAGGGUGGGAACUCUAAUGAGACUGCCUGGGUUAACCAGGAGGAAGGUGAGGAUGACGUCAAGUCCGCAUGGCCCUUAUGUCUGGGGCUACACACGUGCUACAAUGGUCGGUACAGAAGGCAGCGAAGCCGCGAGGUGGAGCAAAUCCCAAAAGCCGAUCUCAGUUCAGAUUGUAGUCUGCAACUCGACUACAUGAAGACGGAAUUGCUAGUAAUGGCAGGUCAGCACACUGCCGUGAAUACGUUCCCGGGCCUUGUACACACCGGCUAC